AGUGGAUGGGGAGCAACCUAGUUGUGCGUGUGUAAAGGUAGUGCCAAGAAAAGCGAUGAUCAUGUUGAAAAUCAAUUCCCGGUACCCGAAACCGACACAGGUGGGCAAGUAGAAUACUAAGGGGCGCGAGGUAACUCUCUCCAAGGAACUCGGCAAAAUGACCCCGUAACUUAGGGAGAAGGGGUGCCACCGAGAGGUGGUCGCAGUGAAGAGGCCCAGGCGACUGUUUAGCAAAAACAUAGGUCUCUGCAAACUCGAAAGAGGAGGUAUAGGGGCUGACGCCUGCCCAGUGCCGGAAGGUUAAAGAAGUUGGUCAGUUUUAGGAUGAAGCUAGCGACUGAAGCCCCGGUGAACGGCGGCCGUAACUAUAACGGUCCUAAGGUAGCGAAAUUCCUUGUCGGGUAAGUUCCGACCCGCACGAAAGGCGUAACGAUCUGGGCGCUGUCUCGGAGAGAGGCUCGGCGAAAUAGGAUUGUCUGUGAAGAUACGGACUACCUGCAUUUGGACAGAAAGACCCUAUGAAGCUUUACUAUAGCUUGGAAUUGUGUUCGGGCUUCCUGUGCGCAGGAUAGGUGGGAGGCGUAGAAGGUAUUCUUGUGGGGAUACUGGAGCCAACGGUGAGAUACCACUCUCAGGAGGCUAGAAUUCUAACUUAAUUAAGGACAGUUUCAGGUGGGUAGUUUGACUGGGGCGGUCGCCUCCAAAAAGGUAACGGAGGCGUACAAAGGUUCCCUCAGACUGGUUGGAAAUCAGUCGAAGAGUGCAAAGGCAGAAGGGAGCUUGACUGCGAGAAGUACAGUUCGAGCAGGGUGGAAACACGGUCUUAGUGAUCCGACGGUGCUGUGUGGAAGGGCCGUCGCUCAACGGAUAAAAGUUACUCUAGGAUAACAGGCUGAUCUCCCCCAAGAGUUCACAUCGACGGGGAGGUUUGGCACCUCGAUGUCGGCUCAUCGCAACCUGGGGCGGAAGUACGUCCCAAGGGUUGGGCUGUUCGCCCAUUAAAGCGGUACGUGAGCUGGGUUCAGAACGUCGUGAGACAGUUCGGUCCAUAUCCGAUGUAGGCGUGAGAAUAUUGAGAGGAGCCUUCCUUAGUACGAGAGGACCGGGAAGGACGCACCGCUGGUGUACCUGUUAUGAUGCCAAUUGUAAACGCAGGGUAGCCAAGUGCGGAGAGGAUAACCGCUGAAAGCAUCUAAGUGGGAAGCCCACCUCAAGAUGAGUAUUCUGGUGUAAGGUCACGGGAAGACGACCCGUAAAUAGGCACGAGGUGGAAGUGCAGAGAUGUAUGAAGCCGAAGUGUACUAAUAGACCGUCGGCUUGACC
rnacentral:rRNA from 1 species